UAUAUCCAUGUCGAUCUCACUUGCAUCUGUAAUGCUGCAAGUGGACGAUGGCUCCCCAACUUUCGGCUCGCUCCCCACGCUUCUCUCCCACCCAGGAUUUUGGUUACCGCUCGAAAUUUCGAGAUUUACCAUGGUUACUGCAUAUUUCUGCCCCCUCGGUAAAUGGGCAUUUCCAGCAUUUUUCUUUUGAGUUUUUGAAUUUUUUUUAAUUCAAACGCUCAAUGUAUAGUAAAGUGUGGCAGCACCUCACAGCAUGCGUGUAGACAUGUUCCACUGAGCUAAUAGCUCUUUAAUGAUAAAUAUAAGUUCAAGUGCUAUCUAUAUCUAUUUUGCAAGAAUUUGAAUUCAAAAUUCAAUUAUAAAUUUCGUGGUAACCGUGGUAACCAUGUUUACCGGUCCUCCUCGGUAAAAAUGCCCCAUUCAGUAACCAAAACGUUGCUCCCACCCACCCCCGCGUGUCGGCUGCUCGCUCCGACGGCCGGCGGACACCCUCCCGUCCGUCGGCUGCUCGACGGCCGGCGGUCACCCUUCCACAGCCCCAUCUGACGACCGACGACGAGCUUCGGAAUGUCUUGCUGUACAGCAACCCAUGGCAGCGGCCACCGCCUUUUGUUGCCAGGUAGCAGCGGUGGCUGCCAUUCUAAGGCUCGACCUCCACUCCGAUCAGCAGUUGAAUGAUGUCCGGCUCCGGUUGUAGACAAUCGGUGGUUCAGUAGUUGGUGAGCCUUCAGCCCGUGCUCGGAAAAUAGAUUCUUUUUCAUUAAGCAGCACUAUUUAUAUACUUGGUUCAAUGCAUUGAGCAAAGAAAAGGUGGAGGGCAUUUCAUUUAACCUCAUUUUUAAAGAAAAAGAACUUUACCAUCCAAUUGGACCAUUUUUUUUGCAAUGUUUGACAAGAAUCUAGUUACAAUUUCAUGUGCUUUUUACUUUGACUUGAUUGUAUUUUUUCUAUUCCUUAAAAAAGAGAGUCAAAAUGAGUGUGUUGAACCGCCUCUGUCUCCCAAACUCGUAGGUAGUGCCAUAUCUAGUAAUUUUGCUCAAGGUGGUGCAAUCCUCGAUACAAACGAUUCCCACAAAAAUAAUAUGCCAACAUACGAGUGUAGAAUUCAUCACAAGCAUAGAACAUUUACUGGAUUUAUUGCAUGGGUAGCAUGAUUGAUUGUCGAAACCCUCCUCUUACAUGUAACAGGUGAGGCAAAUGACAAGACACUUCAGAGAAAACACAUUAUGAAGAUAGGAGGGGAUUGACCACAUGACCGAUGAAUAGAACCACACCAGAAGUGUCUUCCAGGAUAAGGAAGAGGAAAGGGUGAUCCGCGAUGAAAUCCAAGACCGAGGGCGGCGGUGCUUGUCGCAGGACUACUUUAGCAAUAGUUGUUGCUGCAGCCUCAGUUCCUGUUUCGUUCACUUCGACAAAUGCUUUGUGGAAAAUGGAUGAGAUGUAGAGGUUCUAUGCCAUUGGGGAAUCCACCAUCUUUGAAAGAUCUGCUUCAGCACCGAAUGGUAGUUGUAGACCUAAACCUUUGAGCAAAUCAGAUGCCUCUAUUCCCAAGGAUAUCUUGAACUUGGGGAGCUUGAAUUGCCUGAGUGCAACCUUCUGCCUUGGGAUAUGUUGUUCCAGCAACUCUGGUUCGGCACUCAACUUUUCUGCCAAGCUCCAGAUACCACUUGGUGCUUCUGGAAGAAGGAUGUACAUGGAGAACUGCCUCUUGUCCCCACCUUGCUUGUAAGGAAGCUUAAGUACUUUCAAGCCAUCAGAAGAAGAAACAUAUUGUUCUCCUGAGCUGUACAUGAAUGGUGUUUGAAUUGAGCUCCCAUCAAGAAGGUAGAAGUAGUCGCUUUCUGUUCCACGUGGAUCAAACUGAUCUGUCCAAGCUCCUUUGAAAUAAAGGGCAUUGCCAAGAACAAGUCUAGUGGUAUUGCUAAUAGAUCCUGCGGGGAGAAUAUCUUUGAUGAGACCGGUUGUGACUUUCUCUACCCAUGAGUUCACUUGAGCAGUAACUUCUGCGGCCUAGAUCAAGUCAAAAUAAAAGAAAGGUCAAUUAUGUUAUAAGAAUACAUUGAAAAGUACUAUUGUGUCACCAAUGUUUUAAAAAAAUCUUCUCAAUGUAUAAAAUAUUAUACUUGUGCUGAGAAUACAAAGCAGAAUACUAAGGUUUUUGCAAGACAUUUGUAUAUGUAGUAAGGUUUCACACACAUAGUAAAAUCAUCACAUACAAGCACGGUGAUAGAAAAAAAGCAUAUGUGCAUACGAAAAUGAUUAAAUGGUCAUCACAACAUCUCGAAGCAAUAUUAUGCAAUACCUAUGGGAGUUCAGCACAUAGAGAUUGGUUAUACAUAUUCCUAUACGUAUGCUACUGUAGAGUACAACAAGCAACAUGCCAGCACAACGAUGAAUGUUACCAAAGUAUGGUAAAUUUGUGUAACCAAUAACUACAAUUCAAUAAUUAAGUUGGACAAAAAUGAGAAGGGAUUAAUAAGUACUCCAUGCAUAUUGCAAGUUUGAGCUAGACAAAAAUAAAUUGUACAAGCAGCCUGAACGGUUUAAAAGUAGGAUAUAUUAAGUUGAAUCUAUUUUAUUUUACCAACCAACCCAAAUACUAUAUGUAUGUACCUAUAGAAAGCAGGAAAUUGUUCUAAAACAUCUAGUCACUACCAGAAAACAGACUUUUCCCCACGGCUAAGAACCCAUAGGAAAAAGCCAAAUCCCGUCAGGAAAAUAUUUCCUGACGGUUACCCGACAGGAAAAUUUCGCCAGGAAUAAAACGACAGGGAAAUCUUUUAAUGCCUGAUGGCCAGCCGACAGGAAUUAUUUUCCUGACGGUUAUUCCUGUCGACUACCCUCAGGAAAAUCUUGAUGCCGUCAGGUUUAUAGGUAGACUUAUUGUGACGGCCAGCCUACAGCGAAAAUGGCACGCAGGAAAAUGAAUUAUGUUGAGCAUGUAUUUUUCUUUCUUUAGGAUCAAUGUUGAGCAUGUAUCUGACAAAUCCAUAUCCUUCUAUAGUUACAAAUUUAUUAGCACAUAUCAAUGGUCCACGUAUGAUCCCAUUAAGUGAAAAUCCACAUCAUAUCUUCGUACAAGCAUCCAAAACCAGUAUAUACAUAGCACGUAUCCAUGCAUGAUUGAACAUCUGGUAGAUGACAUCUGAAAAUUUUAAUUGCUGUUGUUUUAUUUGCUCAACAACAGUAACAUGUCAGUUGUACGCAUACAUGCCACCGCCACCCAAAACAAUAAGACUCAUGUUUCUAAGUCCACUGGUUCAUGAUCUGGAGCAUCAUCUACACCUUCAUAAGUUUCUAAGUCACCUUAGGCUAUCACCAUGUUCUCAACAUCAUUGUUGCCUUUGCUGUUGCCAUUGCCGACGUGGUCGCCCAUAGCACCAUCCUCCAAGCUAACAGAGGAUAACUCGGUGUUCCCUGCAAAGUCAUGUACACAAGUAACGGGAAUAAUAUUGGAAAGAGAAGGAGAUGAUGACCAACAUCUUUCACCAUAUGAGUUGUUAUCCGCUUAACUCUUUCAAGUUUCAUCUUUUAGCAUAUCUAUACAAUAUAUCCUACAGCCCCAUGAAACAUAUAUUUUAUAUUUUAAAGUGGCUCCAAAAGAUAAUCUGGUCCACUUGAUGAUAAUUUAGCUAAUCAAGGACUAAAAAAGGAUGUUCAUUUAGUUUUUCUUUGUAAAUCUUAGAUAUGGCAUAUGGCAGCAAUGCAACCAUUAGAUGUUAUACUACCAUCUUGGUGCUUUAUAAAAUAAUGGAUAGGAUUAAACAAUACUCACUGGUAGCUUCAUGUUCGACCUUGUGCCCACUAGGACGACAUUCUUAACGAGGUCCUGCCCUUUUUGCCCUGAUGAAAAAUGUGCAAUCUCAAGAUUCCAAUCAAGAAUAGAUGAUUUUGUUCAGAACAAGACUAAAGAUUUCUGGAAAAGCAGAGUAUACUUGUAGCCAGCGGAAUAACAGUUUAUCUAAAAAGAUGACCAAGAAGGCAAGAACUUAAGAGAUUGCAUAAUCCCCUAAUUUUAGAUAUAUAGUAAAUUCAGCUUCAUCUAAACUAACAUGAUGGGUGAAGAUUGUAAUUCAAGGAAGUAAAAUAAAUUAAUGGGGUUAGGUAGAAGUUGGGCAAACAAUGGCUCCAGAUUCAAUGCACAAGAGCCAAAGACUGGACAAGAAGACCUGAACUAAAUCAUGCCCUCAAAGAAGAUCCAGCAUGCCAUACACCCUUGAGUAACUGAGGAAUAUGACUGCCAGUCUAGAUACAUGAUGGAAGUAACACACAAAUCAGAUAGAUAUGCAUGUGCAUUAAUUACCUCAUGUUGCUGACCUGCGAGAACUUCAUAAAGAAGAGGUAUGCACUCCUCAUAGUCUUCAGCAUCCAUGGGCUUGCACCUGAACCAAAACACACACACACACGCGCGUAAAACAGAGCACGGACACGCACUGACUCACUCUUCGAAUAGGGCAUAUGCGAACAGGUGCCGAGCUCAAGGGAUGACAUGUUCCAAACAACAAGGUACCUGCGACCAAAUAUGUGUUCAGGAGAAGAUUAGAGGAAUGGAUUAGUGGCGCUGUGCAUAUGAGGAGAGACUGAGUUAGCAUCAGGGAUAGAUGGUGUAUAGUCUCAAAACAAUUUACACUACCUCAUCAUAAAUAAGUAAUUUGCCAAAUAAAUAAGGACAGCAACAAAUAAUAAGGUAACAAUUUGGGAGAUAAUUGCCACAUAAAAGCAAGUAUGUAUAUUUCCAAAGUGUGAGAGGUACCUGAGACAGGUUUUGCCUUGCCCUUCCUUCCACUACAAAGACUUCUAAAGAUGAGAAACAAAACCUAAAAGAGAGUGGCACAACUAUGCAAAUAAUUACUUACAUUGCUAACUAAAAUAUGACUAACUUGCUUCUAAAAUUGAACGUUUACUGCCAAAAUUAUUUGUGAAGGGAGGCGAUAUAUAGAAGUUGUACCAGUGUGGCUGCAGCUUCAACAAAGGAUCCUUGAUAUGGCAGAUUCAAGCUACAAGAAAUCAAGCAUGAAAAAAGAGUAAAUAUUUGACAUCUGAUUUCAAGACAUUAUACUACAAUUUGCUCAUAAAGUUUUUCAAAUGUACAUAAAUACAUAAAUACCACUGAGAAAGCAGCUAUAGGCCUCAUCUUUAUAUGCGGUACAUAUUCUAAAAGUACAUAUCUAGCAAUGAUACAAGAAGCUUUUCAGUUUCUCAAUUAUAUUAGCUAACAUCAGUGCUAAUAACACAACCAAUUGUAGGUCCUAAAAUUUUGAGAUAUGUGAGAGAACAAAACUCUUUCUAGCAAAUUGAAAAUUGAACAAAUCAACAUACUGAAAACAGAUGCAAAGGGACCCUUAUUUUCCCACUCACAAGCCUACUCUUUUCACCAAUGAGCCAGCAAAAGAAGGAAAUCAAGAUCCGGAUGCCCUCAGAUCUAGAUUCUACAUAAAUUGUAUGAACAACUAAAGAUCCUGACUUCGUUAUUUGGAUGACCAUGGUUGGACUUACCACAGAAAAAUGGAUCAACUGGCUUGGACAAAACGGAGAGGAGGAGGCCGCUGCUGUCACGUCAGACGAGGAGGAGCAGGAGUUUACUGGAUGUGCAACAACAGACUUACCCAGAUCUGGAGCAGGGAGCACGGGGUACAAUCAUCGCGUCCAGGGAAGCCGUGUUGGGCGGAGUGGUCCGACGAAGGUGGGAUGCAGCAAGGGUCGGAGCUGCAGGCAAGCGACGGCGGAAGUCACAGACAUUAAAGGUGGGCGUCGGUGGCGGAUGCAGGUUGACCCGGGCGGCGGUGGUGGAGGUGAGAGACGACCAGUAGUGGAGGUCGGGAGAGUGGAGGGCGAGCGGUGCCGGAACGAUUUAGGGCGAGUGGCGCCGGCCAGGAAGUUUGAGGAGGGCGGCGGCCAUGGAGCAGAUGUGAGAUGGAGAGAUGGGACGAAGUGGGGAAUUGGUGGUCUAGGGAUUCUAUUCAUCUGGAUGGGCCUUUUUUCCUGUAGGCCCAUACACACAGGAAAAUCGGCGGAAGUUUCAUUUGAGGCGCCAAAGCGAAAAAAACGCAGGAGGUAAGAAUUUCCGGCGCCAGAGCCCGUUUCGCGGUGGUGAAAUGGCGGGCUGGGCCUCAAAUAUUUUUCCUGUGGGCUGGACUCUCAGGAAAAUAGUCAAUUUUCCUGGGAGCCAAAUUUAGCCCGUUAGGAAAAUUUAUAUUCCUGUGAUGGGCUUCGGGCCUCACAGGAAAAUUCGUCACCUGCAGGAAAAGUACAGUUUCUGGUAGUGAGUGUUAAAAACAGUGGUAUAGAAAUACCCACUAAAUUUCAAUGGAAAAGGACUAUAACAAAUUUUGGAGGCUUAAUUAGUUAAAUGUAACACAGUACCUCUAUGUUACAUCAGCACAAAACAAGGACUUUGAGAGAAACAAUGGCAUGCCAUACUCCAGCCUCAAAAUAAUUAUGACAUAGAUAACAGACAAAUUCUUUUACUCUGUAUUUGUUUACCGGUAAAAACCUUGCCGUCAUUUUGAGAAGGAGCAAGACAAGGAAGGGGGAUCACCUUAGUUUGGAAGUCUACGGACUGGGCCUCGGCCUUGUACUUGCACAGUGCGAGCUCCUGGAAGGAUGGCUUGAGCUGCAGCGACGCGUCCACGAAUACGCCGUUGGCGAAGGCGACGCGUGGGCUGCCGAUGUUAGACGCGUUGGCGAGGACGAACUGCACCACCUGCUCAGCGAGUGUGUGGAGUCCCUCAACCUCGCCUUCUCCCAGUGUCGUGGCAAGUUGGUUGCGGGUGGCGCCCCCCGCGCCAGCGGUGAUGAGGCUGAGCGCCACGUGGAGGGAGACCGGAGAGAAUGCGGCAUUGUUGACAGUAGACUUGGGGUUGGAUGAGAUAGCGGAGGCGAGGCGGAAGACGAAGCGGGUCUGGUGCGCAAUGGAGAGGCGAACAUCAGUGGCGAGGGUGGUUGCCAUGGCUGGGGUGGAGGUUCGUUGGGCUUUUGUUAGAGUUGAGAGAAAGAUGGAUGACUGGGAAGUGCUGUUUUCAUCGGUGAUUUGUGGCUAUUUAACGGGAGGCACAAGCCCUGAGAUAUGCAAAGGUUCGAAGCAUCUGCGCCAUAAAGCAAGAUAAGUGGUUUGUUGUCUCUUGUUUAAUUAGUCAUCGUUGUGUCAUUUCGUAUAUAUGUUAGAAACCUGAACUUAUCCUAUCUCGAGUUAGCGUGGUGCUUCCUGUCUGAUCUUCCCGUACCUCUGAGUUCUGUAGAACAUCGGAUUUGUGGGAGACCACUACAAGCCUCGUAACCUUUUAACUGAUCGUCUUAAAAGCAUUGUUUGUUUUAUUAAAAUCACACAACUGAUUAGCAAUUCUGAAUUCCAAGCUUGAGAUAGUGGCGCCAACCUGUAAAGUUGUAACUAGUAAAGAAGACGUUCAUGGCAUUGCAUAAUUAGGAUUUGCAUCACACAACUGGUUAGUAGUACUAAAUUCCAAGCUUGAGAUAGCUAUACCUGUGUGUAAAGUCCUAACUAGAAAAGAGGAUUUGCACAAUAUUGCAUGACGAAGCCUUAUUGGGAUUUGCAUCACUUGCCGUGGGGUGUGGGCUUAACUUGUCGUCAAAUUAAUAUGUUCUUUUCAUCACACUGUGACAUAUCCAACGCUACCCCUGGAAGAUGACAAAACUGAUAAUAUGUGCUUUUCAUCACUUUGGCUAGUUCCCCUAGAACAUCUGGUUUAUGUGGAUUUUGCUACACAUCUCAUGACCUUUUUGUUGUUUAAUUUAGAAGCAUGCUAUUUUCUUAAGACCAGACUACUGAUUAGUAGUACUAAAUCCAAGCUUCGGAUUCCGAUGCUAGCUAACGCGUAAAGUUUAACUUGUAAAGAAGAUUUGCAUGAUAUUGCACCAUAUAACAAAAUUGGGUUUUGCAUCAUUUUGUUGUGGGCGUGGGCUUAGUUUGUGGUUAAAUUAAAGAGUUAUGAUCCAAAGCAGAGCAAGAUUCCAUUCCUCAAAAACACCUAAAUAAUGGCACCACGUCAUUCAACGCUACCCAUGCAUUUGCAUAAUACCACUACAAUUGGAGUUUAGGGGUGUGGACUUAACUUGUGGCCAAAUUUAAUCGUAUGAUCCGACGACGGCAGCGCUGGGGAGGUGGACACGGGCACGUCUACCUGUCGCCUGUAGCGAGCCCGAAGUUUGUGUCGCCUUAGUUGCUUGUAUAUUGGGCCGGCCCAAUAAACACUUCCGUUCCUGCACCAACCAAUUUGCUAUAAAGUCGCUCAACAUAUGUAGCUUCAUGUGACAGAAUUUAGUUACAAAAUUAGGCAACAAAUAUUUAUGUGAUAUAAAUACACCACAUAUAUAAAAAUAGAUUUCCAUGUAUUCUUUUAAUCCAUGAGUGUGAAAUAUAUUUUCAAAGAUUAUCUUACUUAAAUUUUAGAAAAUGUUCAUUGUGCCUUCAAAAAAAUGUGAAUGCACUGUAAUAUAGAUUUCUAUGUAUUUUUAUAAAUUACGUUAAUAUAUUGCAUCCUUUGUUAAUUAUGUUAAUAUAUUUCAAACAUUAUGUUAAUUAUUACUUUUAAAUGUUCACCGCGCCUUCAAAAAAUGUUAAUGCUUUAAAAAGAAUCAUGCAAUUUAUAUUAAAAAAUUGUAACUUUAGAAAACAUUCCUUGUAUUUAAAAAAUAUUCGCAAGUUUAAAAUUUUGAUCAUAACAAUUUCCAAACUGUUCAUAUAUUUUUUAGAAAUAUUGCAUCAUUUGUAAAAAAAAAAGUUCUUAUCAGUCAGAAAAAUCAUGACAUUAAAAAAUGUUCAUGUGUUUUAUAAACAUGUUUCAUGACAUUUUAGAAAAUUGUUCUUGCAAUUAUAAAGAGAAAAUUCAUAACAUAUAAAAAGAUGUUCGUGACAUUUUCCCAAAAUAUUCUAGCACUUUAACAGAUAUCUACACGUUUUAAACAAUAUUCAUGUCAUUUAAAAAUAUAUUCAACGUGUGUUUAAAAAAGCUCACUUUAUAUUUACAAAAUGACAAUGUGCAUUUUUACUAAUAUCCAGCAUGUAUUUAAAAAAUGUUCAACAGGUAUCUUAAACAGGUUUGAUUUGUAUGGCAAAGAAAAUUCAUUUUACUAAAAUCAAAUCAAUAUAUAUUGAAAAAGGAAAAAUAAAAGGAAAAGGGAAAAUGAAAAAUAAAAAAUAAAAAAAUUAAGAAUAAUCGAUAAAAAAGCACAGAGAAAAGAAGAGGUACAACACCGUGUUUUUACUGGCACGGCGUUCUGACCCAGUUAAGUCUCUGGUUGGUGGGCCUACGCCCGACUUGAUCGGUUCUUUGAAAACGAAACCUCUGCUGAAAAGCAUAAAAAAAACAUCCCUAAAAGAAAUUAUAAGAAAGCUCGUUCGGUUUUCCGGAGCAGUUUUUUGGGCGAGAUGACCUGCGGCGGCCUCCCCAUCUCGCCGGCGCCGGCGCCGAUGCCGACGGUGGCGGCCCCGCUGGAGGACGAGAACCUCCUGCCGGAGAUCCUCGUCCGCCUAGCCCCGCUGCCGUCCGCCCUCCCGCGCGCCUCCCUCGUCUGCAAGCGCUGGCGCCGCCUCGUCUCCGACCGCCGCUUCGUCCGCCGCUUCCGCGCCCACCACCUCCGCAGCCCCCCUCCCCUGAUCGGAUUCUUCGAGGAGGUCACCCGCGAACCCUCCCCGGACUCCCCCAGCAGCCUCUUCUUCACCCCUAUCCUGGAUCCCCCCAACCGCGUCCCGGUCAGCCGCUUCUCCUUGAGCUUCCGCAACGGCGACGGCCGCACGAUCCUCGGCUGCCGCGACGGCCUCGUGCUCCUCGUCGACGCGGGGGGUGCCGAGAUCGAGGUCCUGGUGUGGGACCCCGUCACCGGCGACCAGCACCGCUUCGUCGUCCCUCCGGUGAUCGACGAGCGCCAGGUCGUCGAGAUCUUAAACGGGGCGGUUCUCCGCACCGCCGGGAUCCUCGACGACCGCCCAUUCCGGUUCCAGGUGGUCUUGGCAGGCAUCGACAGGCCAAACAAGCGGCUGUUCGCCUGCGUUUACUCGUCGGAGGCCGGCAAAUGGGGCGAUCCCAUCUGGGUAUCCGUGGAUUCUGAGAGCAACGUUCGCACCACGGUUUCAAUGCGUGUUUCCAGCACCCUGGUUGGGAAUUCCCUCUACUGGUCGCUGAAUGGGGAUACUGCUGCCGUCCUUCAGUUUGAUUUGGGCACACAACGCCUGGCUGUGAUACCGCUGCCACUGGAUAAGUGCAGCGACGGCAGCCGCUCCUUCCGGGCUAUGCCGGUGGACGGUGGCGGGCUUGGCAUCCUUGAGCUGUUGGAUUUCAACAUCCAGUUGUGGAAAAGGGAGAUCGACCGUGCCGGUGUUGUUUCGUGGGUGCUGGGGAAAACUAUUGAAUUGGAUCAGCUUCUUUGCCUGGACAAGAGGGGAAUGAGUCCAAUGAUGCUGGGGUAUUGCGAGGUCAAUAAUGUGGUGUUUCUGAGGACAGUAUUCAGUAUUUUCUUGGUCCAGCUUGAGUCAUUGAAGUUCAGCAAGCUACCCAUACAGGCAUCUUACUUCUUGGUUCAUCCAUUCACAAGUGUUUAUACUGCAGGUAAUAACCAAGUACUUUUCUACAAUUGAUCGAUGGAAAGCUUUUCACAUCCUUGGUGUUAGACUAAUAAUAAUAUAAAUUAAACAUGUGUCAACAGUUCCUUUUGCCGCUAAAUGUGCUAUUGAACAAACUGCCAUGCUGCUUAUGAUAUUAUUUUUAUGAUUUUCAAACUCUGGGAUUGAAGUCAGAGGUAGCGAGCAUCUUAUGUAAGUUUAUUAGAUGAAGAAAAAUAUAGAUUAAAACCAUUAAUGUAAAGAUAAAACAAAGCUAAAUUUCACUGCUACCUUUCUAUUGUGUUAUGCAAAAGACGUAUAAUGCCAGUGAUUGUGUUUCCCGCCUUGAGAUGGAAAACAGCUGGAAAUUCGAAAGCUGAAAUGUCCAAAUGGUGGCUCAAUAUAGAUUUAAAGGCUUAAAACUAGUUACAUCCUUUGACCCAAUGUUUAUUUAUUUUAAUCUUGCUAACUUAAAUCCAUAAUAAAGGCUUGAUUUGAUAAUAUUUCAUUUUUACCACUUGUUGAAGACUGGCAAGUGUCAGAGUCUACUUGUACCAGAGGAUAAAUAAAUUGAGUUUGUUUUAUCUUUUCAAGCUAAAGUUAUUCAAAUAUGAAUUGUCAUUAUUUCUUUGUUCUUAAAAUUUAUUGGUUUGAAUAUAUUAUAUUUUAUCUACUUCAGAUAACACGGGAAUAACUUUAGAUCACUUCUUCGUUCUGAUCAGCUAAUAUUAUGUGCAUGCCAUUCCAUUUUAGGAGAUUACUGAGUGUAUAUACCAUUCUCAGAAAUAUUCUAUGCAAGGCAGUAGAUGUGCUUUUGUUUAUCUAUUCCAAUGUUGAAACAUGUGUUUUUCCUCUCUCAAUUUUAGCUUAUCUAAAUAUAUCGUUGUUAUCCCAUCGUAUCUUUGGUUCUUUGGCUUAUGCUUGUAGACAUGGGCAUUGGUGGUGGACCUGAUGAAGCCAAACUUCUGUGUAAUGCAAUGCAUAAGGUGACUGUAUUGUGAUACAUUGGUUGAGCAGGUAAUGUAAGCUUAUCUUUGUAUUUUCAUUUGAGGGAUCAUAACUGGUACCUUUUGUUUUUGUUACAAAAUGCCCCCUUUACAACCAUUUGUGAAUAACCAAAUUACAAGUGAGGAUUCUCACUGUGGUUCACGCCACCUAUUGUCGAAACUUGAAAGUAGGCCGCCAUCUCUCUGCCUCCACUUUGAUCUUGGUACUCUCACCUUAGAAAGCGCCGCUGUUUGUCUUGCUCCACACAUAAAUUCCUGUGCUGGUCCUUGUACACCUGCUUCUUCCUUGAUAGCCACCACUGCUGCAUAGUGUCACGAGAUCGCAGUCUUGCUGCAAUGGCCAUUGCUCGGCCAAAUCUGGCAGAUCUGUGGGCAUCACACAGGAAAAUGCUCGGCCAUCUCCUGAUGCUGCGAUAGUAGAGGACAUGUGCCCAGAUUUUGAGGUAGUGGUGCUCGAGGCUGUUGCCUGUUGACAGCCAGCAGCGAUGCUGAAGGGCAAAUCAAAUGAAGAACCGGCAUUUCAGAGGCAACUUCGCCUUCCAGAGGACCUUUUGGCAGCUGCCAUAGCUUAAUGCUGUAGUGAGUUCUAAAAAGCAGUGUCCAUUUUGGCCCGAAGGAAGUGUCUUUAUAAUAGGAUGCAUAAUCCCUGAGGCUUCUACCACAUGGAUUUGGUUGAUCUAAACCCGUUAAUUAGUAAACGGCUAUUUCUUACAUUUCCAAAACAUGUGCCUUUGAGCCACAAGGCAGAUGCAUCUGCUUUCAACACCAUGAAGCAGAGAUUUUUUUUUUCCCUUUUGAACUUCUUCUGAUUUUGCUGCCGGUUUGAUUCUACUUUGGAGGUUUGACAUAAGUUCCACAGUGAUGACUUUGAUGUUUAUGCAAUACAAAAAUUUGUGAGGUGGUACAACUUUAAUGGCUUUUGCAUCAUCAACCGGUGGUACAAAUUUUUUAUGACCAGUGACUGUUUCGCAGGUAUGUGAGCUCUCAUUCAGUUGCUGAGCAGCUGGUGAAUGACUUCACCGGCGCAGGUUCCGUCGGUGCGGAAGUUGAUCUUCUACGGAGCAUGUUCUGGUCAACUGCGAGGAGUAGGAUUUAUUUGUCCAGUCUGGUAGCUCAUUGUGUCCCCUAAAUAUAAUUGUAGGCUUCAUCCAACUGGCAUGAUGACAAGCCGCCACUUGGCCGCACUAGUAAAUAAUCCAGCGGCUGAUUAUUGCCUCCGGUUUCAUUUUCUUUGUCUUCCGAGCAAGGCUCACGAUUUCAUCCGUUCAACUGGUUGGUAACUCAGUUCAAAAAAAAAAAAAAAAAACUGGUUGGUAACUCUGGUGCAUCCUGUGCUCUCGCUCGCCUACCUAUUUGGUACUGUUAUCCUUUUGUUUAUGCUCCGUCGUGGUUCCGCGUUGUAUGCGGUGAGGAGAUUUAAUUCUUGAAUUUCUGCUACUGGUACCAAAAUGUUGAAUUGAUUUACUUGAGAAAGAUGAAGCAUCUGCCUAAGAUACCUCGAUAGAAAAUGUCCGUACAUAUAUAAAUGAAUGGUCAUGUGUUUCAAAAAGCUCUUGUAUUUUUUUUUAAUGUUUGUGUCUACAAAAAAAAUCAUGCGUUAGAAAAUAUAUUUUUGGAAAUUAUUCAUGCAUUAGUAAGAAAUGCCUAUGUGCAAAAAAAUAAAAUUAAAAUGACGGAGAAAUUUUGGGGAAAAGGAAAAACGAAAAAAGGUGAAAAAGAAAGAAAAAUAGAAAAGAAGAAGAAGAAACAAAAUAACCUUUUUUUUGGAGCUAAGGAAACAAAAUAACCGGGCUGAAAAGAGGAUAGGCCGGCCCAUACGCGCGCGCGCGGUGCAGAAGGCCCAUCGGGCUAGGGUUAAGUAGGCCGUAUAGAGCCCUCGCCGCCAACCAUCGUCUUCCGGGACCGGCAUCUUCCGCCGCCGCCGCCGCCGCCGCAAACCGGAGAGCGAGACCGACCGCGCGCGCAGCACCGCCGCCGCCGCGAUUUUCGCUUAGUUUGUUCCUCGCCUCCGCUCCCCCUUUUACCUUAACUCCGUCCAUGGGCAUCGUCUUCCUGGCUGCAAUAGCCAGUGCUGCUGCCAUAAAAAAGAAGAGCCGCCCGCAACUGCACCUGGAAAAUUGAUGAUGUAGAAACAACGCCGUGCUUGCACUUUUUUAUUCUGUAUCUUCGUGUUAUUAUGUACUCUAUAAAGAUGCAUUCAGAAUUCUAUAUAUUUCGAGUUUCUUUUAUGCCAUGUCCAUGGUGGAAGGUUCAGCCACUGUAUUUUACUCUUUACCAUCCAUGCUGGAGCAGCCUUGCCAUGGAUGGAAGCAUUCACAGCAUAAUACUUUGGCGACGCGUGCCUCUGUUUGAAAUAUAUUGGUACACUUGUUUGUUGUUAUUAUGCAUGCUUCGUUCUGCAGUUUUUUAAGAAAUUCAGGCCAGGCAUGCUCAAAGUUACACUUGUUAUCACAGACAUGUACUAAGAUAUAAUUUCCUUGCUACCAGUACAGCUUCUUUGAUUAGUUCGUCGCCAAGAUUCAGCAGCAGCGUUCUGUGUCAUCAUCUAUCAUCUAGACGCUAAUUUAUUUUGUCUGACAUGGAUGGAUGGUUUAAAAGCAACUUGUUUCUCUUCCUUGAAAUGCUUUUUUCAGCUCUUGGACUGUCAGAUGGGCAAGAUGGUUGCCAUCAGGGUUCCCAGGAACAUGCGCGCCAAACGCGAGCUCCUCAAGCACGCACCCAAGCUUGUAAGCUUUCUCUUUUUCUCUUUGACCUUUUCUAUUUCAGCUGUUGCGAAAUUUCCUUUCCUUCAGUUUAAUUUGCAGUACCAGAAACAAACCGUCUCCGCAGAAUUAUUAUAAAUGCGGCACCCCUACAAUAAGAGUAAAUCAUCAUUAUCUUGUGUGUCCGUGGCCAAGCGAAAACUGGCAUCUUCCAGCAAUUUCCCAAAUUACUUUCAAGUAGUGUGCUGCAUCAGUGUACUUUGGAGCCGAGUUGCACGCAAAAGGCUUGGCCAGAUUUUCUGGCACAUGUGCAUAUAACCACUUGCAAAUCUUGACAUUAGUUUCUGUUGGAAGGCUCUGCUGCUUUAUAACCUUCCAUGACAAGAAACUAGAAAUAGUAUGUACGUGUUUCUUUUCAAUUCCCAUAACAGACUGUUGCUCUAAUGCUUGUUCCAGGUUGAGAAUGGCAAGAAGAUGCUUAUUCUCCAUGGUACAAAGACUAGCGCAGUUUUGAACGAUGUGCUCGCAGAUCUUUUUCACCUGAAGCGUGAUCAUGCUGUGAAGUACACCAAGAAGAACGACAACAUCAGGCCAUUUGAGAGCGGGGGUGAAACUUCCCUGGAGUUCUUCUCCCUUAAAUCUGACUGCAGCCUCUUAGUGGUAAGUUAUAUCAGUUCCCAUUGUGUAUGUGGUGAGAAUGCGACUUGUUAUUCACUUGAGAAAAAAAAAUACUAAACUGAUGAUGUUCUCAGAAGUAGAUAUAGUGAGCUAGGCAAUGACUUUCUGAGCACCAGCAUGGAAAUUAUCUGAAACCUUUUCCAUGUCUGUUAUAGUGAACCUUUUCAUUUUUCUUUGUAUAUUAAAUGUAGAGAAUAUUAUUCUCUAUUAUUUUUAACUGCAAAUAUUUAUAUUUUUGCAGUAUGGUUCUCACUCAAAGAAGAGGCCCAACAAUCUUGUUUUGGGAAGGACUUAUGAUCACCACAUAUACGACCUUGUUGAAGUAGGAGUUGAGAACUACAAAUCCAUAGAAUCUUACGCAUAUGAUAAAAAAUUGGCGCCUAAACUUGGGACAAAGCCUUUCUUUGCCUUCAUUGGGGAGCACUUUGAGAGUGUUGAUGAGCUGAAGCAUUUGAAGGAAAUGCUGCUUGAUCAUUUCAAGGGAGAGGUGUGCAUCGUUAUAGACAAGUUGGAACAUAGGACAUAGAUAAUCCCUCUAGCUUUAAUUCCGUAACUUAUUUAAUGUUGAUAUAGGUGGUAGAGAAUCUGAACCUUGCUGGUGUAGAUCGGAUAUUCGUGUGCACAGCAAUUUCCCCUACUACUGUCUACAUGAUGCACUGUGCUCUUCGUCUAAAAAGGUCAGGCACAUCUAUUCCUAGGAUGGAGCUGGUUGAAGUUGGGCCUUCAAUGGACCUGGUAGUUAGGCGGCACCAACGUCCAUCUGAAAGUUUACAGAAGGAAGCUAUGAAGGCUCCUGGUCAUGCUAAGAAGGUAAAUCCAAUGGAACAGCUGUCUUUUGUUCAUCAGAUAUUGUUAUCCUGCUGGUUAGGUUGCAAAAUGCGCCAUUAGCCAUAAACAACUAUACUUCCUGCCCUAGUUUUGACACCAAUAACUUGUAUGCCAGUAUGAACUCAGAACUACAUUUAACAUAUUUGCAGGUGAAAAAUGUGACGAAUAAUCCAGUUGACGGCAAGGAGGGCAGGAUCUACAUUCCAGACCAGGAGGUUUGUGUCUCUAAACUGUUUCACUAGCAGCUGUGAAGCUUAAAUAUAACCUAUUUGCCACACUAAUCCGAUACAUGGUUUUCUGACCGAAAGGUUUCGAAAUUGACCUUAACAAGCGACAUAAAGGGCCUGAAGCGGGAGCGCCGUGAAGCCAAGAAAAACAAGGAGCACUCGAAGAAGCAAAAGGUCAACCCUGAGUGAAUAACGCAGAAGGCUAUUCAUUCGUGGUAACUGGUCCUUUUUAAGGAUUUUUGGUGCACCUGAUGAUCGCAUCGGCUGUGUUAAGCCAACUGGUGACCAACUUGUUAGGUUGAGCUGUAAAUAGUGCGGUACCGUCUUUUUAGGCCGUAAAACCUGCCUACAGACUUCUGCAUCUGUAUUGAGGCGGCUUAUCUAUCAGACAUUAUUAGUGCGAAAUUGUUGGAGCAACGUGUGUUAGGAGUAUUUUGUUUUGCUAUUGUUGUUAGUCCUUGAUUCUAGCUGACCCGAGAUGAUUGUUGAGAUGACAUGGUUUAAGUCUGGUUACCAUGGGCAUUUUUUUUCUUCUGAAUCUGCAUAUCGUGUGCAUUUUUUGUCGUCUUUUCUUUUGUCCAUAUGUUCUUUUUAAUCCUGUAGCCCCUGUGAAUAUGCAGCUUGUCCGGUGUUUUGAUGCUUGGAUUCACGUGAGCUACAAAAAAAAGUGAAAAUCAUUUGUUUUAUACAGUACUCCCUCCGUCCCAAAAUUCUUGUCUUAGAUUUGUCUAAAUACGAAUGUAUCAAGUCACAUUUUAGUAUUAGAUAAACAAGUUCACUCUUUUAAAAUCACCAAUUUACCAUUUUUUGUGUAGCCCAUGUGUCAAUGUAUUUUUUCAUGAAAUUUUGCAUAUAUGUAGUAUACAUCCGUAUGAAAUUUUGUGUAGCUCACGUGUCAUUGUAUUCUUUAGAAUGUUUUGUUACCGAGUUGUGCUGUGACUCAGUUGUGGUGGCUGAGCAGUGUGGUAUGUUUCGUGUGCAUCAUCAUUUUUGGGUACUGAUUGUGAAGAGUUUGCGAGUCGUUGGGUCAGUGAUAACGAGAGAAAUUCAUGGCGACCUCUACAGCUGCUAUCUUGACUCUGCUGAAAUCCAUGAAUGGUGUUCCACUUUGGCAAAGGCAAAUGGCCUGCCUAGACUCUAGAGGAGGCCCCUCGCAAAAAAAAAAAAGACUCUAGAGGAGGCCGUUGUGCCCUGCCAAGAAGAAAGAGACGGCGUAUAAAAGGAAAUGUUCAUCAUUUUGAAUUUGACUUUGGAAGUUUCUGCUUCUGUGUGGAGUAAUUUUUCUAAGAGUCAUGGCAUGUAGCAGUGGUGUUGCUAGUAAAAUGAUCCUGGGCUACACCCUGCGCCAUGACACCAGGUCAGGUGAUUGAUGCCGGUGUUUGCCACUUCUUCUCCUUCCUCGUCAGUGGAUGGCCUCGUUGGGGUUGGGGUUGUCGCUGCUGCUGUCGGUGGCGCCGUCGCUCGCGCUGGCGGCAGGAGGCGUCGGCUGCGCACGGCUGGGCGGCGACGGCGCCGCGCCGGCGCCCCAUCCGUCCGGCUUGAAGCUGAACGGCAUGCCGCCCCCCGGGAUGCCUCCUGGCAUAGGCAUAGGCAUAGGCAUGCCGCCCCCCGGCAUGGGCAUGGCGGGCAUCCCGGGGAGGGCGGGCAAAGGCACGGGCAUGGCAGGGAUCGGCAUCCCGGGCAUGCCGCCGGGGUUCGGGAACAGCGGGAAGGACGGCAUCGUCGACGGCGGCAGCCACCACUUCAUGCUGCCGGUGCCUGUCCUUGCGGCGGCCGCGUCGCUCCCCGCCGUCGCCGGCCCCGGGGCAGGCCCGGGCGCGACCGUGGCGUCGUAGGACGCGCCGCGCCCCGGCUCGAACUCCACCCGGCUGAUCUCGUCCUCGUAGUCGUCCAAGGACGCGUCCUGCGGCGCGGUCUCGGUCGCCGCGGCCUCCAUGGAGCCGAAGGCGAACUCCCGGGCGUACUCCUCGUCGCCGACGCUGUCGUCGUGGAGGAGGCGCAUGCCGUGCCCCCACCCGGCGCAGGCCAGGAGCACGAGGAGGCCGAGGAAGACGGACGGCUUGCUCUGCUCCAUGGCUCGCUCUGCUCUCUGGCUCCUUGGCUGUUCUCGCCGGCGAGGUGGUGAGGAGGAGAGGAGUGGGCAACGCAGGUUUUAUAGCGAGGUAAUUUAGGAGCUUGGAGCUGGGGGUAGGUUGGAUCAUGGUGAGCUGCCCUGCACUCCGAUUUCUCAAUCAUCUCAUGGUUUUUUACAGCAGCUCAGGGUGCAUGCCGGAGGCGUGCAGCCGCAACACCACCUGAAAACUAACAACCUGGGUCAGCUUCUGCCUCCCAAAUCUGGUGCUUAAUCUGCACCCUUUGACCAGAUUUUUCGACAGAAUGCAAAAAAUUUGGGCAUGGACAGAAUGGAUGUGGAUCUCAAUCCCCGAAAAUAAAAUCGCGAUCACAAAUUUGGACCUGGCAGCGAGCAAUUCUUUUCUGACAAAGCACAACGAAUUUGAGCUCAACUUCCAGUAUAUGCAGACAACUUAUGGUCUCACCAAUUUUGUUGAGCAGCAUCCCACAAAUAAAUGGGAGAACAGACGCAUGCGUCGCGGUUGAAUUUAAACCAGCGUUCUGGUUCUGUUCAGGAAGCACCUGAGCACAAAUGCUCUCACAUGACAAUUGAGACACACUACAGGGCUGCAGCACACAAACUAGGCAGAAUAAUAGCAGGGAUUUCACUCGAUAAAUCAUGAGUGUCCAUCUGAUCUGAUCUAGUCUAC
rnacentral:lncRNA from 1 species